rnacentral:rRNA from 1 species
AAUCAACGCUGGCGGCGUGCCUCAGACAUGCAAGUCGAACGAUUAAAGCUCUCUUCGGAGAGUGCAUAGAGUGGCGCACGGGUGAGUAACACGUAAGUAAUCUACCUUCGAGUGGGGAAUAACGUCCGGAAACGGACGCUAAUACCGCAUAAUGCAGCGGCAUCGUAAGAUGACAGUUGUUAAAGAUUUAUCGCUUGAAGAGGAGCUUGCGGCAGAUUAGCUAGUUGGUAAGGUAAUGGCUUACCAAGGCUACGAUCUGUAACCGGUCUUAGAGGACGGUCGGUCACACUGACACUGAAUAACGGGUCAGACUCCUACGGGAGGCAGCAGUCGGGAAUUUUGGGCAAUGGGCGAAAGCCUGACCCAGCAACGCCGCGUGAAGGAUGAAGGUAUUUCGGUAUGUAAACUUCGAAAGAAUAGGAAGAAUAAAUGACGGUACUAUUUAUAAGGUCCGGACUAACUACGUGCCAGCAGCCGCGGUAAU